rnacentral:rRNA from 1 species
AUUGAACGCUGGCGGCAGGCCUAACACAUGCAAGUCGAGCGGAUGAGAAGAGCUUGCUCUUCGAUUCAGCGGCGGACGGGUGAGUAAUGCCUAGGAAUCUGCCUGGUAGUGGGGGACAACGUUUCGAAAGGAACACUAAUACCGCAUACGUCCUACGGGAGAAAGCAGGGGACCUUCGGGCCUUGCGCUAUCAGAUGAGCCUAGGUCGGAUUAGCUAGUUGGUGAGGUAGUGGCUCACCAAGGCGACGAUCCGUAACUGGUCUGAGAGGAUGAUCAGUCACACUUGAACUGAGACACGGGCCAGACUCGUACGGGAGGCAGCAGUGGGGAAUAUUGGACAAUGGGCGAAAGCCUGAUCCAGCCAUGCCGCGUGUGUGAAGAAGGUCUUCGGAUUGUAAAGCACUUUAAGUUGGGAGGAAGGGCAGUAAGUUAAUACCUUGCUGUUUUGACGUUACCGACAGAAUAAGCACCGGCUAACUCUGUGCCAGCCGCCGCAGUAACAC